rnacentral:rRNA from 1 species
AGUGAACGCUGGCGGUAGGCCUAAUACAUGCAAGUCGAACGGCAGCACAGUAAGAGCUUGCUCUUAAGGGUGGCGAGUGGCGGACGGGUGAGGAAUACAUCGGAUUCUACUUUUACGUGGGGGAUAACGUAGGAAAACAGACGCUAAUACCGCAUACGACGUACGGGAGAAAGCAGAGGUGAAUCAGAGCUUGCGCGAUAGUAUGAGACGAUGCCGGAUUAGCUAGUUGGCGGGGUAAAGGCACACCAAGGCGACGAUCCGUAGCUGGUCUGAGAGGAUGAUCAGCCACACUGGAACUGAGACACGGUCCAGACUCCUACGGGAGGCAGCAGUGGGGAAUAUUGGACAAUGGGCGCAAGCCUGAUCCAGCCAUACCGCGUGGGUGAAGAAGGUCUUCGGGUUGUAAAGCCCUUUUGUUGGGAAAGAAAAGCAGCAGGUUAAUACCCCGCUGUUCUGACGGUACCCAAAGAAUAAGCACCGGCUAACUUCGUG